rnacentral:rRNA from 1 species
GACGAACGCUGGCGGCGUGCCUAAUACAUGCAAGUUGAGCGAUGAAGAUUGGUGCUUGCACCAAUUUGAAGAGCAGCGAACGGGUGAGUAACGCGUGGGGAAUCUGCCUUUGAGCGGGGGACAACAUUUGGAAACGAAUGCUAAUACCGCAUAAUAACUUUAAACAUAAGUUUUAAGUUUGAAAGAUGCAAUUGCAUCACUCAAAGAUGAUCCCGCGUUGUAUUAGCUAGUUGGUGAGGUAAAGGCUCACCAAGGCGAUGAUACAUAGCCGAUCUGAGAGGGUGAUCGGCCACAUUGGGACUGAGACACGGCCCAAACUCCUACGGGAGGCAGCAGUAGGGAAUCUUCGGCAAUGGACGAAAGUCUGACCGAGCAACGCCGCGUGAGUGAAGAAGGUUUUCGGAUCGUAAAACUCUGUUGGUAGAGAAGAACGUUGGUGAGAGUGGAAAACUCAUCAAGUGACGGUAACUACCCAGAAAGGGACGGCUAACUACGUG